AUGAUAUGCUGCUGCUCAUGCCAAAGGUUGUGAUACAUUUUUUUAUGAUAGUAUGAAUUGAUUGAUGAUGCAUCACAAGUAGCACAAGUUCUGCAGUAUCCAUUUCAGUAAGAAGUUUGCAUUGAGUAAUUCUUUUCAAGAAGAAGCUUACCAUGCACAACUAGCUAGCGAAUACUUCAUUCUUCGGUGGAAGACAUAGCAUAUAAUUACCUUGAGCACAUCAAUACAAGAUUUUCUAGCAUCAAGUAUUGUUCAUGGUUCACUCAUAAUGUGUGUUCUGUCCACUUUUCAACUUAAUUUUAUUAAGAUUUCUGGUUAUCACUGCAGGAGUUGCACCAGAGUCAAUGAGGGUAGUCUGCAUUGCAGACUGUGUUAACUAUUCCAGAUUUUAUCAACAUUAAAUUGUGCAUUGCCAUUGCCAUUUCCAUUUCUUGCAUCACCUACCUUGAAGUUGAGAGGAUUGAUUUUUUCUGUAAUUGUUCAAUUGGAAGUAAAAAAUCAACUCUGCAUGCUUACAUGAAGCUAGAUUCCUGAAAAAUAGUUGUUUUCGCACAGUAUAUCAGUAUUUUGUUUCCCGAUCUAAAAAAGAUGUGUCUGAGCCUGACACAAGAGUUUGGCUAAUCUGCAGUAUGACUCAUUAGUAGUAUUUUCUUAGACAUGUUGAAUCAUUCCUCUAUCCCAGUAUUCAAAAUUUACAUAUUGUGAUAUUGUCACAACUGUCAAGUGUAGGUUCCACAACCAAGCAGAAGUUGUCACCAAAGGUCAAGAUGGAAAUAGGUAAAACCGGUAUUUACAUGUUACACAUCCGCAGCUGUAGGAUGAACUGCCAUGGACUCCUGACCAACUAUCCCACACAUACGACUCUUUAAAAGGAUGUUCUUCCUCUAUCUCUCCAUGUCGUGUUUUAUUCCAUCCCAGACUUCAUGGUUCCAUCCGUACUGGAUUCCCAACAAGGAGAACGUGAUUCGGUCCAUCUAUGCCUUCCCCUUAUCAUAUUCAAGGUUUUGCAUUACAGGAUGAUUGAUGCGUCCGAUGAGGAUCCACAAUAAUGUGAAGUAAGGAGGCGACAUCGGUAGUUGAGGCUGUCAAGUGGAGGAAUAUGUUGGAUUGGUGGUGGCACGCAAAUCACACUCUAAAUCCAAUUGGAGUUCAUCUAUUCUACCAUCGCCCCACGCCGUCGCACUUCUCCUUACCAGAUUACACGAUGGAGGGAGGGGGGAACCAGCUGGGGCGGUCUGCAGUCUGCAAAGUCUAAAGUUGAACCCUGCACGGACAUCUCGCCGAUGCCGACAAUAUUUGGUUUGGUUUCAGUGAGCACGUGCUUGAACGCCUCAAAUUUUCUUGAUAUGUCCCUACAGUUAAGGCUGGCUCCUUGACGCUCCUGCAGGCUACCAGGAAGGACCUAUUCAAUUGUGUUGGUUGUUGUGUUCGUUCUAAUGGGAUACAAGUCACAUGGCGUGAUGGACAUCAGGUGUGCAGAAAUAUGUUUGUGCUUUGAUAGUUUCCUGAUAUGCGCACAUGUGUUUUUAAUACUUCCCCUUGGAUUAUAGGAAUUAGACUUGUGAUGGAAAUCAGACAGGCAGAAAUAUGUUUGCUGUAAAUAGAGUAUAAGAGCUCCUAUGAAUUAAUAUGUUUAGAAGUUCAAUGAUCGAUCUCAUCUUAUUAGUAACUGAGUUAAGCAACAGGCAUAUGUACUAUCAGUUUUUAUGUCUGACGCUCUUGCCUUCCAUACGUACUGAAUUAACAAAAUUCCUAUGUUCAGGAGGCGAUGCAGCGCUGGAAAAAACUCAUCGUAGUAAUUAGCUAAUUAUUGUAUAUUGUCAGUUAUACUUCUCUUCAUAUAUACUAUGACAUCAUUUUUCCCUCUCUAUCUGCUAACAUGAAAUUUGUAUACAGAUAAACAGAGCUAUCACUAUAGACGCAUAACGAACUUCUCAUAUUUACAUGGUUGAGUAUAAAUGUAUGUCCAAGUAUUUGUAUAGUUCAAUGUUACGUGAGUAAAUAUACAUCUUACACCAAAA